AGACCACCAGAGGGAGCAGCUGUGCCCGGCACUUCUGAUAGAAGCACGUACCUCUUCUGUCUGGAAAACACCAUUGUCCCUCAGCAACAGGGGAGCCCUUCGAGCCCAGCCCUAUGCCCCUACCCAUCACCAACCCCCAAAGUGAGCCAUGGAGUGUAACUGCAGCAGGGCCUGCGUUCAGAUCACAUCACCGCGGGACCCAGGGCAUCAUGUGUUUGGCAGGGCACAUAGAACCCCACAGAAAAAGACAACAUCUGCCGAAGUUGUGCUCAGAAAGAAAGAAAGAAACAAAAAGAUUGUGCUUGCAAAGAAAUGAUGCUCCAUGAAGGUGAGUCACCCGUUGCCACAAGAAGGAGGAGAAUUAGUAGCCCCAAGAAAUACUGAUGAGAUGAACUACCACUCUUUUUUUGCAAGUGGAAUAAGGACAUGUCCAGGAAAAAAUAAACCGAAGAAAGGUUAGCAAUAAUAGACUCUUACUUAAAUAACUACUGAAAGAUAUCCUUCAGGAAGAAGGAAAUUGAAAUUGGAGAGAAAGGAUGAAUAGGAGGCAAGGAACAGUGAACAAAAAAUUGAUAGACAUGGGAAAAUCUAAAUAAGCAUUAAGUACAUAAAACAACAAUGAUGUUGAAUCAUAUGGAAUCAUAUGGAAUAUAUGAUGUUGAAUCAUAUAGAAACAGGCUGGCACAAACAACGCUACAGCUCAAAGGCAUGUACAGCAGCAGAAGACUAUUAAUAUUUAAAUAAUCUAAGGCUCUUGUAUUGUUUGGGAGGAGGGUAGGGCAAUUGCCUGCGUUUGGACCUUGUUAAGUCAAGUAUGAAUGUUUAAACAUUUAAGAGUAUGAACUCCUAGUUUCUGGCGGUGGCAGGCUUGGUUAUUUGAUUCAGCUUUUCUAUUGAAGUAAUGAAGUAUCCUGAAUAAAAAUGUUCAGAACCACUUUGAAAGCACUCAAGAGGAGUUCCCUUGUGGCUCAGCAGGUUAAGGAUCUGAGGAUGUCACUGCUGCCGGAGGCUAUAGCUCCAAUUCGACCCCUAGCCUGGGAACCUCCAUAUGCCGAGGGAAGCGGCCCUAGAAAAGGCAAAAAGAAAAAAAAAUUAUUGGAAUAUAGUUGACUUAUAAAGUUGUAUUAAUUUCAGGUGUAUAGCAAAGUGAAUCAGUUAUACAUAUACAUAUCCCCAUUCCUUUUCAGAUUCUUUCCCCAUAUAGGUUAUUACACAGUAUUGAGUAAAUUUCCCUGGGUUAUAGGUCAGUCCUUGUUACCCUUCUAUUUUAUAUAUAGUGGUGUGUGUGUAUCAAUCCUAACUCCCUAAUUUAUCCCCCUUCACGUUUUCCCUUUGGCAAACAUAAGUUUUGUUUUGAAAUCUUUGAGUCUGUUUCUGUUUUGUAAGUUCUAUUGGGUCACUUCUACUAGAAUCCACAUAUUAGUGAUCUCAUAUGUACGGAGCAGGCAAAUCCAUAGAGACAGAAAUUAGAUUAGCGGUUGCUGAGGGUUGGAGGAAGGGAGAAGGAAUAACAGAUGCAGGGUUUCCUUUGAGGGUGAUGAAAAUAUGCUGGAAUUAGAUAAUAGUGAGUGUGACACCAUCCUGUAAAUAUACUAAAACCCACCACAGUUUAAAAUUUAUACUUUAAAAGGGUAGAUUCUAUAAUAUGUGAAUUGUACCUCAAUUUUAAAAUGUAGAUUAUAAUAACAGACUCUCGAAGAGUUGUUGUGAAGGUUCAAAGAGAUAAUGCAUGUAUAGUCUUUAGCACAAUUCCUGGCACCAUCAUAAGUGUUCAACGAAUUAAAGGUGUAAUUCUU
rnacentral:lncRNA from 1 species